rnacentral:lncRNA from 1 species
GGCUCGAGUUCCUAUAUCCAGACCAAAACCUCCAACUACAUGAGCCUUUUUCUUAAUAAAUUUUAUUUUGGUAAUUGUAAAAAGAAAAAUCAGGACCAAAACUAAAGGCAACUUAAAAAGUUCAAAUAUAUAAUCCUUAUGUAAUAGAGAUUUAUAAUUUCCAGGCCCUCUCUGGGGAAGGAAUGCCCAAAGGGCAAAAGGGAAGGCAACAAUGCCAUCACACAAUUCAGUCAAUCAGAAGAGAAGCUGGUAGGAGAGUUCAACAGGGCAUGAAGAAAGGGAGAGAACAGCAAUAGUUCUGCCAUACAGAACUCAGUCCAUCUUGAGGUUAACAUAGAUAUACCGGAUGAACUUUAGGGAAGAAAAAAAGGAGAUGGUGCCCAGCAUGAGGAAGAAGACAUAACCAGUGAGUAAGGAGUAGCCGAAGAACUCUACUGUCUGUACUGCCCCAGACAUGUUGGAGCGCCGGGCAUAAUAGAAAACUGAGUAGAGGAAGAUGAAGAGGCCGGUGGAGCCAACACUCAGCACAGAUCGCCACCACCAGCGGUAAUCCUCCCCAGACAACUGGAAGUAGUGCCAAGGGCCAGGAACUGGGCACCCACGCCAAGCACAGCACAGAGCAGACCACGGUAUGGGGGGAAGCGGAAGACAUCUGUAUGGAUAAUUUUCCAGCCAUUGUCACCCUGGUCAAAGUCAUCACCAGAACCUGCAGAGGUGGUCUCCUCAUCUAAGUUGUACCGAGCCAGGUCAUUCCGAAGCACACGCAUUAGAAUGACAGCCACAAAACCCACCAGUAAAAACACAAGCACCAUGGAGUUGAUGAUGGACAACCAAUGGAUUUCCAGUGUUCGAGGAAAGAAACCACCAUCAUCACCACGGCGCCUGUCACUCCGACGCUCCACUGAAGUCUCAGACCAGCGCACGCUAUAAGUGUGGGUAAGGCCUAGGAACUCGUCAGGUCGUAACCCAUCCAAGCUGUGGGGCUUGACGUCCCGCACUGAAACAUUGGCAAAUAUAAUUCGGUCUCCAUGGAAUUCUAGGUGGAAGUCCAAAUGGGUCCAGAGUCCUAUCUUGUGGCUGUGUGGCAGGAAGCCACUCUCCUCCAUGUAGCCCACAAAGCCCCGGAUUGGCAAGUCAUCUACCACAAAUUCAAAGUAGUACAGUUCUUCAAUGGCCUGGCGCAGCUGCUCCACCUAUAAAGAGCAAGUCAGGAGUUGGUCACACAAGAUCUCCCCAGGCGCAGAGUUACAGCAAAGUUUCUCACCUUCAGCACUACUGAUAUUUU